rnacentral:rRNA from 1 species
AGUGAACGCUGGCGGUAGGCCUAACACAUGCAAGUCGAACGGCAGCACAGUAAGAGCUUGCUCUUACGGGUGGCGAGUGGCGGACGGGUGAGGAAUACAUCGGAAUCUACUUUUUCGUGGGGGAUAACGUAGGGAAACUUACGCUAAUACCGCAUACGACCUACGGGUGAAAGCAGGGGAUCUUCGGACCUUGCGCGAUUGAAUGAGCCGAUGUCGGAUUAGCUGGUUGGCGGGGUAAAGGCCCACCAAGGCGACGAUCCGUAGCUGGUCUGAGAGGAUGAUCAGCCACACUUGAACUGAGACACGGUCCAGACUCCUACGGGAGGCAGCAGUGGGGAAUAUUGGACAAUGGGCGCAAGCCUGAUCCAGCCAUACCGCGUGGGUGAAGAAGGCCUUCGGGUUUUAAAGCCCUUUUGUUGGGAAAGAAAAGCAGCAGGUUAAUACCCCGCUGUUCUGACGGUACCCAAAGAAUAAGCACCGGCUAACUUCGUG